UUUAUAUAGACAUAUUUAUACUAUAUAUAUGGUAUAUAAAAAAUAUAUAUUUACAUAUGCAUAAUAUUUAAAUUAUUUAUUUUUGUAGAUUUUCACUCUUAAGCUUUUCUGUUACAGUCGCUCUUUUUAUCAAAGAAAAAGUUCUAAGAGACAAAAGCAAAAAUAAAAAUGUUAAUGUCAGUGGCCACCUGUAGGGGGCUCGCUGAUAUUGGAACGUUUGUAUAACGGAAGUAUGAAUACGUUGUACGGUCCUUAUUUCCGGUUGCAAUCCACCAGUCUCUCAGCGGACGUUGACGUCACAAACCCGGGCUCGGCUUCAGUCUGACUCAUUAAAAUGACUGCCGUCCAAUAAAGUGACCCGACUGUUAACGGUUCUACGUCAGAGGGUGGAGUAAAAGCCACUGUUGACGUUUCUCCAAUCAGGUGGUUAUGGGAGGUGAGCAGGAAGUGACCACGACCUCCGACCUCUCCAGGAUUGGCAGAUCUGAGCUCCUUCUUGUUCUUCAACUUUACUGGAAGCAGCUGUAUUUGAUUGACAGACUGUUGUCAACCUUCCACAGUAAAGAACGUUGUUGGAGCAGGUGUGACCUGCCUUUAUUUACAGGUAAAGAUGGACAGAUCACGUUCUCUGAACCACAUGUUGAACCACAGGAGUCAAAGGUCCAUCAUCAGGAGUGGAGCAACUUUAUUAAACCUCUUCUUUUGGCCUAAAACACAAGAUGAAGUCAAGACAACGUUUCUUUGUGCUACUACUUAAUACUUUAAACAGUAACUAAUGAAACAAGUCAAUCAAAAUGCAGUAUUUUUUAUUAAAGCAAUGAGAAUUUCACAGUUACUUUCUUGGUAAACCAGGGGUCAAAGGCCAUCGUUUUCUAUUUAACAUUAAACUGAUUGAUUUAGUCAAACUUUAUACACACUGUUUUCAUCUGUACUGGAUUUGUCCAGUAGGUGUCGCUCACUCCGUUGUCAAUACCUGUGAAGGGUUUAAAUCUAUUUCUUUUCAUAUAUAAUAGUGACGUCCAAUCGGCUCGACACUGACGGACCACUGACGGACCACCGCUCGGCCGGUACACCAUGACUUUGGCCACGAUCUAAACCCAAGACGCACAUUUUCAGAAAAGACUUGUCCACAGAGAAGUUGGGAAAAUAAAAGUCACUCACAGUAAAACGGACUUACCGGUUUAAAGAUGGCGUCGUCGGUAACUCACGGUGUAGGAUCAGCUCUUCCGGCCCUGAUGUCCUGUAAACACUCUGUAAACGCUGUACAAAAGUUUCACUUCCGGUGACAAAAAAAAACUUUAAGUGUUUCUUUUCUUACUUGAGCAGCUCAAGGACGAUGUCGUUCACGUAACAGAAACCAGACCAUUCGAACUUCUUGGCGUGGAGUCCACCGGCCCAGUAGAGGGCGAUGUGGGUCUACUGCUACACCUGAAGGGCUUUACUUCAAUUUCUCACACACGCUUAAAUAAUGAAAACGUAAAUUCGUACCCUCGAUAACAAUGUUCCGUCUUCUUCGUGGGUUCGUCAUCGUUACAGUUCCCCACAGAACAAGCCGCUUCUUCGCUAACACACGGGGCUAAAGUCGCAACAUAACACGCUGACUGAUCGAUACGUGCGGCUCAAACAGGCGACUGUUGUCGGUGCAGCCGGAGGACAACCACAGCAACUCUUUGUACUGAAUUAUGCUGCAAAUGUUAGAGAAAUGGCCGCGAACCGAAGCAGCAACGCGUCGUUGGAGUCCGUGACGACACCAAGGAUCGAGGAGGUCAGGCAGGUCCAGGGAGAGUCGCUCCACGCUCUGGACCAGGAGGCGAACCAGGUGACCAGCGACAACCUGAAGAUCUGAGCAGCUGAAGACCACGACUGUCCUGGCUCCUCCCCCAACACCCUCCUCUGGAACCUCUGCUGGAGCACAAACAGAAGAAGAAGAAGAAGGAGAAUGUUCAGGAGACAGACUCUACAGACUCUACAGACACUACAGACUCUACAGACACUACAGACUCACAGACAUCCUCACCCUGAAUCUUCUGAUUCUGGACAGACGUUCCUGAAGGUUGGUCUUCUGGCUGCAGGUCAUUUCUUCUACGUGACUCCUCCACUGCUCCUCCUUCUCCUGAAACACAUCAUCAUCUUCAUCAUCUUCAUCUUCAUCUUCAUGGUUCUGGUCUCCACCUCUGGUCCACUGGUCUCCAGAUGGACUUGUCUUUGACUGAUGAACUGAAACUUCAGUCCAUCGUCCAAUCACAGCACAGCGUUGGUCAUCAACCAUCUGGUCAGUUGUGAAGAUGUCGUCCCACAUGUAGACGGUCGUCGGCGGAGCUGGAACGACAUGAAGACGACCAUCACCACAGUCAGCAGGGGGCAGCAGUGAGUGGGGACUGUGCCAAGCUCAGAGCACCUGAGUGGUAACUUGGCAGCUCGGUGGACUCGAACCUGAGACCCUAAUCACCACUGCCCCACUGCCCCAGUGUCGGUGUUUGGUUGAAGACUUUUCUUACUCUGUCUUUGCUUCUCUCUCUGUCUCCCUCUAGUGUCUCCGCUGCGUCCUUGUCUGCGGUGGUCCUGUCUGUCCCCAGGAAGACGUAGUCCUCUUCUUUACACAGACCUCUCAUCGACUGGAACCACAAAAUACAGACGCUCCUACGUUAGCGCCAUCUGCAGACUGAAAUUAAGAAUUGAACCCACCAAACAUCUGGAGAAACACCAAGACAGAGCAGGUCCAGACUCAGAGUGUGCAGGGACCAGCAGGGGGCAGUACAACAGAACAACAGCAGGAGUACAGUCAGAGCGGCUGUACUUUGAAGUGAACCUGACCUCAGACGCCGCUCUGAACUGGUUCAAACUGGUUUCACUGCACUCACGUCACUAGAACUGUUCCUGAAGGAACUUGAACCUCUGUCGGUGCUGGUACUUUACAGUCACAGCCAUCGGUACCAGCAGUCGGUGAAGACUCACCUUUGACAUGGGGAUUCCAUGGAACCUCUGGACGUGAGUCAUUCUGGUCCAGGACGGGUCUGAUCACACACACACACACACACACACACACUUUAAAGACUUUAAAGAACUCACAGAGGUCACAGAGGUCAAACUACUUACUGUUCUGCGGGUCAGAACCGCGGUUCCACUCUAACCGUCUGUGGGUUUGGUCCGUGGAUUCAGACGCUCCACAGACGUGUCCAGUCCGGCAGAGAGACGUGGGUCUGAGGGACAGCGCUCCACGGUGGACGCUGUUGCUACGUAGCCUACAUGCUACAUAUUUGUACGGCUCAGUGACAGCAGUGUCGUGGUGGUACUAAUGAAGGAAGAUGACGAAGGAGGACGCCGUUCAUCUGAGAGCAAGGCCUGGACGUCCACUUCAGCGAGGACCUCUGCUGGACACUGAACACAUCACAGUUGGUAACAGCUUCACUGUUGACGGAAAUGAAUUUCACUGCUGAAAAACUUUGUUUCUGUUGAAUAUGAAAAU